rnacentral:rRNA from 1 species
CGCAGCUAACGCGUGAAGCUGACCGCCUGGGGAGUACGGUCGCAAGAUUAAAACUCAAAGGAAUUGACGGGGACCCGCACAAGCGGUGGAUGAUGUGGAUUAAUUCGAUGCAACGCGCAAAACCUUACCUACCCUUGACAUGUCUGGAAAGCCGAAGAGAUUUGGCUUUGCUCUCAAGAAAACCGAAACACAGGUGCUGCGUGGGUGUCCUCAUCUCGUGUCGUGAGAUGUUGGGUUAACUCCCGCAACGAGCGCAACCCUUGUCUUUAUGUGCUACUUUAGAUCACUCUUCUGAUACUGCCGGUGACGAACCGGAGGAAGGUGGGGAUGACGACAAGUCCUCAUGGCCCUUAUGGGUAGGGGUUCAUACGUCAUACAUUGGUCGGGACAGAGGGUCGCCAACCCGCGAGGGGGAGCCAAUCUCAGAAACCCGAUCGUAAUCCGGAUCGCAGUCUGCAACUCCACUGCGUGAAGUCGGAAUCGCUAGUAAUCGCGGAUCAGAAUGUCGCGGUGAAUACGUUCCCGGGUCUUGUACACACAGCCCGUUCCACCAUGAGAGUGGGUUUCACCAGAAGUAGGUAGCCUAACAGUAAGGAGGGCGCUUACAAUGGUGGGAUUCAU